rnacentral:lncRNA from 1 species
CCCAUUUUACCAAUCACCUGGUUAAUUGUGCUUGCAACAUAUCCACAUAUGCCAGCAGUUGUUGCUUCGCCUCUGCAGUAGCAGCCUCUCUCUGUGAAGCUUCUCUUAUUCGAGCUUCCGUAUCAGCCUCCAUUAGUCUGAUCUUUUCUUCCUCCCGAACAAUAGCCCCUACCAGUAUUACCACUGCCUGAUCUCUAGCUUGUGCGAUCUCAUAACGCCAUCAAUAUACUUGUUGAAUUGACAAAUCUCUCUGCUUAGAAGCUCUUCACCUAUGUAAGAACUUUAG